rnacentral:rRNA from 1 species
GAUGAACGCUGGCGGCGUGCCUAAUACAUGCAAGUCGAGCGAACAGACGAGGAGCUUGCUCCUCUGACGUUAGCGGCGGACGGGUGAGUAACACGUGGAUAACCUACCUAUAAGACUGGGAUAACUUCGGGAAACCGGAGCUAAUACCGGAUAAUAUAUUGAACCGCAUGGUUCAAUAGUGAAAGACGGUUUUGCUGUCACUUAUAGAUGGAUCCGCGCCGCAUUAGAUAGUUGGUAAGGUAACGGCUUACCAAGGCAACGAUGCGUAGCCGACCUGAGAGGGAGAUCGGCCACACUGGAACUGAGACACGGUCAAGACGCCUACGGGAGGCAGCAGUAGGGAAUCUUCCGCAAUGGGCGAAAGCCUGACGGAGCAACGCCGCGUGAGUGAUGAAGGUCUUCGGAUCGUAAAACUCUGUUAUUAGGGAAGAACAAAUGUGUAAGUAACUAUGCACGUCUUGACGGUACCUAAUCAGAAAGCCACGGCUAACUACGUG